AGAGUUUGAUCAUGGCUCAGAACGAACGCUGGCGGCGUGCUUAACACAUGCAAGUCGCGUGCGCAGUUGCCGUAGCAAUACGGUGAUGGGCGCACGGCGCACGGGUGCGUAACACGUGGGCAAUCUGCCCUUUGAUGGGGAAUAACCCGCCGAAAGGGGGCUAAUUCCGCAUAAGAUUCCCGGAACUUCGGUUCUGGGAUUGAAAGCAGCAAUGCGUCGAAGGAGGAGCCCGCGCCCGAUUAGCUAGUUGGUGAGGUAAUGGCUCACCAAGGCUUUGAUCGAUAGCUGGUCUGAGAGGAUGAUCAGCCACACUGGAACUGAGACACGGUCCAGACUCCUACGGGAGGCAGCAGUGGGGAAUCUUGCACAAUGGGCGAAAGCCUGAUGCAGCGACGCCGCGUGGGGGAUGAAGCAUUUCGGUGUGUAAACCCCUUUCGACUGGGACGAAUGCCUCGCAAGAGGAGUGACGGUACCAGUAGAAGAAGCCCCGGCUAACUACGUGCCAGCAGCCGCGGUAAGACGUAGGGGGCCAGCGUUGUUCGGAAUUACUGGGUGUAAAGGGUUCGUAGGCGGUGCGGCAAGUUGGGAGUGAAAUCUCUGGGCUCAACCCAGAGGCUGCUUCCAAAACUGCUGUGCUCGAGUGUGAGAGAGGCUCGUGGAAUUGCAGGUAGCGGUGAAAUGCGUAGAUAUCUGCAGGAACACCCGUGGCGAAAGCGGCGAGCUGGAUCACUACUGACGCUGAGGAACGAAAGCUAGGGGAGCAAACAGGAUUAGAUACCCUAGUAGUCC
rnacentral:rRNA from 1 species